UUUUUUUUCACCCUGCUUUAAAAGCCCUUGGGCCCUUCCCAGCUGGGUGCCAGCCAACUGUGGCUGCCUGGGACACUCCAUCUUAAGUCCCUGUGCCUCUGCUGUGUGUUACUGAGUGCCUAGGCCGUGCCAGCCUGUAUUCAUCUGUACUAUGACCUGAAGAGGCAGAGGCCAUCACUGUUGGUCCGGUCUCCACCUGGGGAAACUGAGGUGUCUCUGUGGUGACGAGCAGGGCUUCAUCCAGUGCCUCUGUCCCCACCGAGGGGACUAUGGGAGACAUGGAGGGUGUGUGAGCAACAGGUGAGACUGGAGCCAGCUGAAAACUGGGAGACCGACCCAGCCAACAAACAAUGUCGGUCUCUGUCUUGGCACCUGCAGGAAACAAGCUCCUACUUCCAGAAAAAGUGCUCCUGGGACUCCAGGAUACCAGGUAAACUCUCUGAGCCUGUUUCUUCAUCUGCAAAGGGGAAUAACAGGGCCAGCCUCAGACACU
rnacentral:lncRNA from 1 species